GGCAGGCCUAACACAUGCAAGUCGAGCGCAGUCCUUCGGGACCGAGCGGCGGACGGGUUAGUAACGCGUGGGAACAUACCCUUUUCUACGGAAUAGCCUCGGGAAACUGAGAGUAAUACCGUAUAAGCCCUUCGGGGGAAAGAUUUAUCGGGAAAGGAUUGGCCCGCGUUAGAUUAGAUAGUUGGUGGGGUAAUGGCCUACCAAGUCUACGAUCUAUAGCUGGUUUUAGAGGAUGAUCAGCAACACUGGGACUGAGACACGGCCCAGACUCCUACGGGAGGCAGCAGUGGGGAAUCUUAGACAAUGGGCGCAAGCCUGAUCUAGCCAUGCCGCGUGUGUGAUGAAGGUCUUAGGAUCGUAAAGCACUUUCGCCAGGGAUGAUAAUGACAGUACCUGGUAAAGAAACCCCGGCUAACUCCGUGCCAGCAGCCGCGGUAAUACGGAGGGGGUUAGCGUUGUUCGGAAUUACUGGGCGUAAAGCGUACGUAGGCGGAUCAGAAAGUAGGGGGUGAAAUCCCAGGGCUCAACCCUGGAACUGCCUCCUAAACUCCUGGUCUUGAGUUCGAGAGAGGUGAGUGGAAUUCCAAGUGUAGAGGUGAAAUUCGUAGAUAUUUGGAGGAACACCAGUGGCGAAGGCGGCUCACUGGCUCGAUACUGACGCUGAGGUACGAAAGUGUGGGGAGCAAACAGGAUUAGAUACCCUGGUAGUCCACACCGUAAACGAUGAAUGCCAGUCGUCGGGCAGUAUACUGUUCGGUGACACACCUAACGGAUUAAGCAUCCG
rnacentral:rRNA from 1 species